AACUAAGUGGUCCUCUCAACUUGUUUUCUUUUUUAUUUUCUCACAAACACACAAACACACUCCUCUCUCACUCCCUCACACUCUCCCACCGGUGUACCUCCUCACCACCAUCUCUACCAUCAUUUUUCCCGCAAGCACCUCCAUAUCUUUUAUAUGAGGUUCUAGCUAAUCUCCUUUGGAGCUUGAGGAAUUAGGCUUUGCGGGUUGCGAGGUAAGUGGCUUCUUAAUGGGAUUUUUGAAAAUGAAUCAUUAUUGCACUCAAUCUUUUUAUGGUUAAACCAUUUUGGAACAUUAUUCAUGGUUUCCCUAAAAUUUACUAUGUGUACUAUUAUUGUUAAUCAUUUACGGAAAACACGUGAGGCAUUGAAAGUGCAUCAUGUUUCUUAUUGCAUAUGGGGAAAUGCAUGAUUUGUUAGCAUAGAAAAGACUAGCAUCUUUGAUUAAAUUCUUGAGAAUGGAUUUUAUGAAUUUAUUGCAUUAUUUGUAAAAUUUAAAGAUGCUUUGAUAAUUGCGAAAGUUGAUGCAAAACAUUUUUGACAAGAAAUGGUUUUGAGGACUUUGAGAAAAUUAUGGAUAUUUGGUUAUUGAAAUAUCUUAUGAAACUACUUGGAAGUAAACUAUAUAUUUUGAAUACAUUUAACUUGUGAACUUUUGAUGUGGGUUUUCCCUUGUGCUAUGAUGUCAGUGAUUACCCUGUCUUUGUGAUGACGUCUUUGUGACGUGUGAUUACCCCAUCUUUGUGAUAACGAGUUAGGUUGGAGGCUCUCACUUUGCAUGACACAAGUAAAUCCUUGAGUGUGUGGGUAAGGCUAGGCAAGGCCAAGAGAUAUGAAUGUUGACCACCAUAGUUUAGAAGACUGGUUUCACCGGGCAAGAUGGGUGCCUAAUAUCUUUCCAUCUUGUAACAUAGCUUCUAAGCUUAGAUCAAGGGUUAAUAGAUUGUAACUAGGAAACAAAGUCAUGAACUUUAUCUUAGAUUGUAUCUAGGACCAAAGCCAUAUAAUUUCUUAUGAUCAAUGUAAAUUCAUUUGCAAAUCAAUAAAAUGAGGAAUUUUUUAA